CGGACGGGUGAGUAAUGUCUGGGAAACGUGCCUGAUGGAGGGGGAUAACUACUGGAAACGGUAGCUAAUACCGCAUAACGUCGCAAGACCGAAGAGGGGGGCCGUUAGGGCCUCUUGCCAUCGGAUGUGCCCAGAUGGGAUUAGCUAGUAGGUGGGGUAACGGCUCACCUAGGCGACGAUCCCUAGCUGGUCUGAGAGGAUGACCAGCCACACUGGAACUGAGACACGGUCCAG
rnacentral:rRNA from 1 species